rnacentral:rRNA from 1 species
CUUCCUUCGAUGUAUGCUCUCUUCGCCGCCUCUGCCCGCCGCCGCCCUCGGUCUUCUUCUCCGGCCGUCCGCCGCCGCCCGCCGGUCUUCUUCUCCAGCCGUCCGCCGUCCGUCCUCCUUCCCCUCCACAUCUGCCCCUAAUCUUCUUCGGCGCCACCCACAGCCUCAUCAAUCUCCAACCUCUUGUUCCCGUGCUUCUCUGAUUUGGAUCGAGAUGGGAGUCCUGGAUCGAGUUAGGGUCUGUGUUCUUCUCCAACACAAAGCCAUGGAGUGACCGACCCGGAUUUGACUUGGCUAUCAUAAGAAGGAAGGGUCCUCGACCGGAAUCUGCCCCAGGCAGGACCUCAAUGGCGACCUGCAGGCCCGGCCUCUGUCUCUUUCGACUCCCUCUUUUUGCGACCUCAAGAAGCUGCGGCGGCUCAUCCUCGAGGCCAAGCUCGUGCAAUUCCGACGACUCCAGGCCCAAUUUAUUUCCUGCUCUAUCGGGUCCAAGUGAUGCGCCAAGGGGAUUUGCAACAGCUUUCAGGAUUGUUCAGUUGCAUGCUAAGAAAAAAAAUAGGUCUGAGGGGAACCACUUCUUUGGCGUGUUGCUCCAGUAGUUCAUGAUGAUGAGGGCUGAAGGUUUUACUCGAAGUCGUGUUAUAUUGGAGUUAGCGCCUAAAAAAAUGACAGUGUAUCUCCUGGGGGAGGAGGUGGGAGAGAUGUAGCAGGUAGAAGAUGGACCGUGGAUAAGAAAGAGGAAGGGAUAAAGUGUCAAUCAGCAAUGAAAACUUUAGUAUUUGUGAUGUAAAUUUGAAUGCUAAAGUUUGAAUUUUUUUCCUUGGUCUUAAUUUCUUUCUUUCAAAUGCAAGUGGAUUAAUCUGCAUAAAAUUUAAUACUAUGUUGUAUUCAGCUUUAUUUAGAUUUACCUUCCACUCAUAGGUUGGAGUCUAGAGUUUAUGCAUACCGUUGCAUGAGCAUUGUUGCAUCAUGGUCAAUUCUCUUGGACAGAUAGCUGAGGCCAUUGCAUAAUUUCAGAGGAGUAUGAUGCUGCUUUGGAAGGAGGCUUUUCUCAAUCUGUGCUGCUUUCGGGGCGAGGCUGGGCCACGUCCACACUAUUGUCGCUCGCCUGCCUGGGCCUGGGACGUGUUAUUGAAGCCUUCACCAUGCUACAGAGGACAGUCCUGAAGCUCAGUGUUAGAAGACAAGUUGGCUUCGUAUAUUGGUGAAAUCUCAACCCAUGUUCUUCAGUUGGCUUCAUAUAUUGGAUGUUGACGCUUCGCUUGCUUCUGAUAAGAAUGCUUGGAAAGAUGUGAUGAAAAAUGGAAAACUUCUGUAGUUUUACAAGACAAGUAAGCGCCUAUGACUUGCAGUCAUCUCCUUUCCUAUCCAGCACAACGCAAGUGCGCAUGACAGCUAACACAGCAAACACCCACCAAGCAAGCACACGUACGCAGCAGUAGCAUGUAGCAAGCUAUCACACACGCGCCCGACACAACAGCCGACUCGGCAAAAGCACCCUGCUGGACUGGACGACCACGGCGUGCGUGGGCUGAGGCCUCGCCGAAGGAGGGCGCUUGCGGUGUCUGCAUGUUCGGCCUUGCUGCACUCCAGAAUAGUCACAUCACGGCGCGCUGCAGUAGGGCAACGAUUCUGUAAGAGGUAAAUAGGGGUUUGGGGCGCUAUUGUCCAAGAUUGUGCUACCAAGGAUUGUGGAUCUUAACUAAUUA